rnacentral:rRNA from 1 species
UACGUAGGCAGCAAGCGUUGUUCGGAGUUACUGGGCGUAAAGGGUGUGUAGGCGGUUAUUUAAGUUUGGUGUGAAAUCUCCCGGCUCAACCGGGAGGGUGCGCCGAAUACUGAAUGACUUGGAGUGCGGGAGAGGAAAGUGGAAUUCCUGGUGUAGCGGUGAAAUGCGCAGAUAUCAGGAGGAACACCAAUGGCGAAGGCAGCUCGCUGGAACGGUACUAACGCUGAGGCGCGAAAGCGUGGGGAGCGAACAGG